UACGUAGGGGGCAAGCGUUAUCCGGAUUUACUGGGUGUAAAGGGGGCGCAGACGGCGAUGCAAGCCAGGAGUGAAAGCCCGGGGCCCAACCCCGGGACUGCUCUUGGAACUGCGUGGCUGGAGUGCAGGAGGGGCAGGCGGAAUUCCUGGUGUAGCGGUGAAAUGCGUAGAUAUUCGGAGGAACACCGGUGGCGAAGGCGUCCAACUGGGCUUUAACUGACGCUGAGGCUCGAAAGUGUGGGGAGCAAACAGG
rnacentral:rRNA from 1 species